CUUUUCCCAAAGGCCGAAGCCAUGGAAAACGCGUAUUUGAAACUUUGACCAAUUGCAUAUAUAAAUAUGAUUAGAUUAGGCUGUCAUCAGUAAUUAAUUUGUGUUUAUGUGAUGGGAAAGGAAGCUGGGCUGCAUGAAAUUUCUGGUAGUGGACGGGUUGGUAAAGGACAUCUGAUUGAUUUUCUUUCCAACUCCGCCCAUUCCGGUGAUUUCCUGCGCUUGCUCCCUUUCCCUUCUCUCAUCUUUACCUACUUUGCUGCCUACUCUACUAACUCUACUAAUCUAUGAGAGGAAUGAGGGAAAGGCUGAGAGUGUUGAUGCAAGUUUUUGGAUCUGAAGGUCUUGGAAAGGAUCAGUUUUCAUUUCUGAGAAAUUCUUUCCGAAACCUCCAAUUCCAAUCAUUUGCAUCUCCUUCUCCCUUUCCCAUAGAUAUCCUUCAUUUCUGACUUCAUUUUGGCUAAGAAAUGCAGAUUGAUUAUUCAAAGAAAGUGUUGGGAUUUAAGCAAAUAUAUUCUGGAUUCGUUUCGUUUCUCAAGAGAUGCAAUGGUUUUAUAUAAAAAGUGUUAAAUUUUAAAGACAGAUACACAUUCGUGCACUAUUAAUUAUAGCUCCUUGUUAAUAAAUCUUGCAAUUAUAGAUUUCAUGUGAAGCAUGUGCUUGUUAUUGAUCUUGUUUUGUGAACAAUAACCACAGAAAAGUUGGAGAGAAUCUUGUGGAGAAUAGAAAAAAGCAGAUGGAGGCUGGUCAGGAGUUUGCCAAGCCAAGUCCAAAGAAAGUGAUUCUCAGCACUGAGGUUGAUUGCCUGUUUUAUGAGAUAUGGAGCUCCGUUAUGUGUAUUUCAGGCUUAUAGCUUAAUAGUUAUUAGUAGAAGUGCAGAUACAGCAUGUUACUGUACCUCCAGAGCAGCAAAGCUUCUGCACCACAGUCCACACACUUAAUGUUCUGUUUUAUUCAUUAUAUUAUUAGUAUCCAUUGAUUUAAAAGUAAAAAAAUUUUAUUCAUUGAAUCAAAAAUUUUUUCCACGAA